rnacentral:rRNA from 1 species
UACGAAGGGGGCUAGCGUUGCUCGGAAUCACUGGGCGUAAAGGGUGCGUAGGCGGGUCUUUAAGUCAGGGGUGAAAUCCUGGAGCUCAAUCCAGAACUGCCCUUGAUACUGAGGGUCUUGAGUAUGGGAGAGGUGAGUGGAACUGCGAGUGUAGAGGUGAAAUUCGUAGAUAUUCGGAAGAACACCAGUGGCGAAGGCGGCUCACUGGCCCGGUACUGACGCUGAUGUGCGAAAGCGUGGGGAGCAAACAGG